ACUUUGCCAGCCCAAAAUCUCCAAUAUGAGCAACCAUAUCAUUGUUAAGAAGAAUAUUGCUUGGCUUUAGGUCACAAUGAAUAAUUGGCAUUUUACAAUGGUGAUGAAGAUAAUCCAGCCCAUUCCCAACAUCUAUGGCAAUGCUCAAUCUCUGCAGAAGGCUUAGACUUGGUUGUUCAUCAUUUCGGUCUGUAUGUAACCACUUCUUUAGAUUCCCAUUUGGCAUGUAGUCAUAAACAAGUGCCUUAAAAUCAUUUCCUUGGAAAUCAAUACUGGAGCAAGACGUUAUUAUCUUCACAAGAUUUCGAUGACGUAUAUUUCUCAAGGCUUUGCACUCGGCUAAAAAGCUCUUUGAAGCACCCCGCUGUUGAAGGUUGAGUACUUUUACUGCAAAGAUUGCUCCAUCCUCCACAGAAAUGCCUUUAUACACAGACCCAAAGCUUCCCGCACCAAUCAAAUUUGCUGAAGAGAAC
rnacentral:misc_RNA from 1 species